rnacentral:misc_RNA from 1 species
GUUUCUUGCUAAUUCUUCUCUGCAGAAUCUACAUUCCGAAUCGGUGGUAGCUUUACUUUUACAAAAAUAAUAAUUUAUUUUUAAUUAACGUUUUAAUUUGUAAAAUGGCGAUUCGAAAGUGCUCUUGGGACCUUGAGAUUUUGAAUGUGCCAUGUGUGUGGGUGUGUGCGUGCGUCGUGCCACGUGUGUAGGUUGUGGCGUGCGACGUGGCCGUGUGUCCCGUGUACCUGGUUGGGCGCGUUCUUGGCCGGGCUGAGCGGCGCCGGCGCGCCCAGGUCGCUGAGGCGCGAGCCGCCCGUGAAGGUGAAGCCCACGAAGGGCAGGUGUGGUGUGUGGUGUGUGGUGUGUGGUGUGUGGCGUGCGACGUGGCCGUGUGUCCCGUGUACCUGGUUGGGCGCGUUCUUGGCCGGGCUGAGCGGCGCCGGCGCGCCCAGGUCGCUGAGGCGCGAGCCGCCCGUGAAGGUGAAGCCCACGAAGGGCAGGUGUGGUGUGUGGUGUGUGGUGUGUGGUGUGUGGCGUGCGACGUGGCCGUGUGUCCCGUGUACCUGGUUGGGCGCGUUCUUGGCCGGGCUGAGCGGCGCCGGCGCGCCCAGGUCGCUGAGGCGCGAGCCGCCCGUGAAGGUGAAGCCCACGAAGGGCAGGUGUGGUGUGUGGUGUGUGGUGUGUGGUGUGUGGUGUGUGGUGUGUGGUGUGUGGCGUGCGACGUGGCCGUGUGUCCCGUGUACCUGGUUGGGCGCGUUCUUGGCCGGGCUGAGCGGCGCCGGCGCGCCCAGGUCGCUGAGGC